GGCAGGUUGCCCGAGCGGCCAAUGGGAGCGGACUGUAAAUCCGUCGCGAAAGCUUCACAGGUUCGAAUCCUGUACCUGCCACCC
rnacentral:tRNA from 1 species